rnacentral:rRNA from 1 species
CCUACGGGCGGCAGCAGUGAGGAAUAUUGGUCAAUGGACGAGAGUCUGAACCAGCCAAGUAGCGUGAAGGAUGACUGCCCUAUGGGUUGUAAACUUCUUUUAUAUGGGAAUAAAGUGUUCCACGUGUGGGAUUUUGUAUGUACCAUAUGAAUAAGGAUCGGCUAACUCCGUGCCAGCAGCCGCGGUAAUACGGAGGAUCCGAGCGUUAUCCGGAUUUAUUGGGUUUAAAGGGAGCGUAGGUGGAUUGUUAAGUCAGUUGUGAAAGUUUGCGGCUCAACCGUAAAAUUGCAGUUGAAACUGGCAGUCUUGAGUACAGUAGAGGUGGGCGGAAUUCGUGGUGUAGCGGUGAAAUGCUUAGAUAUCACGAAGAACUCCGAUUGCGAAGGCAGUUCACUGGACUGCAACUGACACUGAGGCUCGAAAGUGUGGGUAUCAAACAGGAUUAGAUACCCGGGUAGUC